CACAACUCAGAAGUAACUCAUUAUCUUUCUACCAGGAAGCUAAACAGACCAGGCAGCUGAAACCCAGACGAAAUUUUCCAAUCCUCGUACCAGAGCCAUAUUUCACAAAUAAGAAUCUAAGUAGCCAGCAGGGAUUGCACUGGGAGCACUGUGAGGAACUCUGGCCUCCCAAGCUCUUCUUGAGGGCUGAUCUCCCCCAGCAGACAACAGAGGGCCAGGGUCCUGUGCUUGGAGCUCUGCGCCAGCAGGAAGUGGUGGUUCUCAGAUCAGUGUGCCACCUACCUGAGAGAAGAUUCAUUCAUAG
ensembl:lncRNA